CGGGACGGGUGAGUAACGCGUGAGUAACCUGCCUUUCAGAGGGGGAUAACAUCCUGAAAAGGAUGCUAAUACCGCAUAACAUCUUUUUAUCGCAUGGUAGAGAGAUCAAAGGAGCAAUCCGCUGAAAGAUGGACUCGCGUCCGAUUAGCCAGUUGGCGGGGUAACGGCCCACCAAAGCGACGAUCGGUAGCCGGACUGAGAGGUUGAACGGCCACAUUGGGACUGAGACACGGCCCAGACUCCUACGGAAGGCAGCAG
rnacentral:rRNA from 1 species